rnacentral:rRNA from 1 species
AUUGAACGCUGGCGGCAUGCCUUACACAUGCAAGUCGAACGGUAACAGGUCUUCGGAUGCUGACGAGUGGCGAACGGGUGAGCAAUACAUCGGAACGUGCCCGAUCGUGGGGGAUAACGAAGCGAAAGCUUUGCUAAUACCGCAUAAGAUCUACGGAUGAAAGCAGGGGACCGCAAGGCCUUGCGCGAACGGAGCGGCCGAUGGCAGAUUAGGUAGGUGGUGGGAUAAAAGCUUACCAAGCCGACGAUCUGUAGCUGGUCUGAGAGGACGACCAGCCACACUGGGACUGAGACACGGCCCAGACUCCUACGGGAGGCAGCAGUGGGGAAGUUGGGACAAUGGGCGAAAGCCUGAUCCAGCCAUGCCGCGUGCAGGAUGAAGGCCUUCGGGUUGUAAACUGCUUUUGUACGGAACGAAAAGACUCUUUCUAAUAAAGAGGGUCCAUGACGGUACCGUAAGAAUAAGCACCGGCUAACUACGUGCCAGCAGCCGCCGUAAGAC